rnacentral:tRNA from 1 species
GCUCCCGUAGUCUAACCUGGAUAGCUGCUGGAAAGGACAGAGCCCUGCGGAGGCUCUAAUCCGAGUUCAAAUCUCGGCGGGAGCA